rnacentral:rRNA from 1 species
GGGUCCUACGGGAGGCAGCAGUGAGGAAUAUUGGUCAAUGGGCUAAGGCCUGAACCAGCCAAGUCGCGUGAGGGAAGACGGUCCUAUGGAUUGUAAACCUCUUUUGUCGGGGAGCAACGAGGCCACGUGUGGCCGAAGUGAGAGUACCCGAAGAAAAAGCAUCGGCUAACUCCGUGCCAGCAGCCGCGGUAAUACGGAGGAUGCGAGCGUUAUCCGGAUUUAUUGGGUGUAAAGGGUGCGUAGACGGGAAAUUAAGUUAGUUGUGAAAUCCCUCGGCUUAACUGAGGAACUGCAACUAAAACUGG